CACGAACGCUGGCGGCAGGCUUAACACAUGCAAGUCGAGCGCCCCGCAAGGGGAGCGGCAGACGGGUGAGUAACGCGUGGGAAUCUACCCAUCUCUACGGAAUAACGCAUGGAAACGUGUGCUAAUACCGUAUACGUCCUUCGGGAGAAAGAUUUAUCGGAGAUGGAUGAGCCCGCGUUGGAUUAGCUAGUUGGUGGGGUAAAGGCCUACCAAGGCGACGAUCCAUAGCUGGUCUGAGAGGAUGAUCAGCCACACUGGGACUGAGACACGGCCCAGACUCCUACGGGAGGCAGCAGUGGGGAAUAUUGGACAAUGGGCGCAAGCCUGAUCCAGCCAUGCCGCGUGAGUGAUGAAGGCCCUAGGGUUGUAAAGCUCUUUCACCGGUGAAGAUAAUGACGGUAACCGGGGAAGAAGCCCCGGCUAACUUCGUGCCAGCCGCCCGCCGUAACAC
rnacentral:rRNA from 1 species